rfam:Salmo salar isolate Sally breed double haploid chromosome ssa14, whole genome shotgun sequence.
UGCACUCAUUGUAAGUUGCUUUGGAUAAAAGUGUCUGCUAAAUGGCAUGUU